GGCUGGGUACGGUGCUCGCACCGUGCCCCCACUGGGCGGGGAUCCUUGAUGCACUCGUAGGUACACUUCUUAGAGGGACUAUUCUACGACUAGUGAAUGGAAGUUUGAGGCAAUAACAGGUCUGUGAUGCCCUUCGAUGUUCUGGGCUGCACGCGCGCUACACUGAUGGAGUCAACGAGUUUAACACCUUGGCCGGCAGGUCUGGGUAAUCUUUUGAAACUUCAUCGUGCUGGGGAUAGAUCAUUGUAAUUAUUGAUCUUCAACGAGGAAUUCCUAGUAAGCGCGAGUCAUCAGC
rnacentral:rRNA from 1 species